rnacentral:lncRNA from 1 species
GACAGGGUUUCAUCAUGUUGACCAGGAUGGUCUUGAUCUCUUGACCACGUGAUCCACCUGCCUCGGCCUCCCAAAGUGCUGGGAUUACAGGCGUGAGCCACUGUGCCUGGCCCAUAAGUGUUCUUAAUCAUAGAACUGAUGCAUAUUGGUAUUUAAAAUUGUAAUGUAUGCCUGAAGCCAAGUGUCUCACUCCUGCAUCUGCUGCGGCCUUCUAUGUAAACCCUUUUCCUUGCUAAAAUCAUCUAGAUGCACCAGUCUAAGGCCCCCAGUCACCUGGUACCCUUGAGACAGCACCAUGCUGGAGCCAGGUUGUGAUCCAGGCAGAAUGGGAUGGCCCUUCCUCCAGCAGCCCUUCUGUCUCCCAGCUGCAGUUACCAUCCUCAAAUACUAAAGUGGUUGAUACUCAGCAAUGAAAGCUGCAUGUGAGUGUGGGAGAGAGAAGGAGGUUCCGGCAGAUUGACAAAUGGAUCCAUGGUUCUGAGAAGGAGCAGGUAAGGAGGAAUUUGACAUUUACCCCAAGAUCUGACACAGCCUGGACUGUGAUGUUGCUGCGGAGGGCACGUUGGUUUGUGAAACAAGUAGCAUGAGGCCCUCAAGCCAAACUCUUCCAGCUGAAUAAAUGAGCUAAUUCUACGAUACCAGCCAGUAGAUGUCUCUCUCUGUUAUAUCCCUUCUGAUCAUUACCUUGGCCAUCAGACUGUUCUGCUACAUUACUUGACUGUACUGCCGAGAGAGAAUUGACAAUAUUAAAACAACUCCAUUGCUUUUAUGAACUGGCUCUAGGAGACUAGAGUCCAUUUCCAUUACCGAGAUGUGUUGCAUCCCUAACCAAAUGCUUUUGGAAGCAGAUAAUUAGGCAUUGCAGGCUGUGAUUGUUUAAAGAAGAUAUACAUUCAGGUUUCAGACAUGGU